rnacentral:rRNA from 1 species
GUCGAACGAAGGCCCUAGCUUGCUAGGUGUCCUUAGUGGCGCACGGGUGAGUAACACGUGGGAACAUACCUCAUAGUACGGAAUAACUGCGGGAAACUGUAGCUAAUACCGUAUAUUCCAGUAAUGGGAAAGAUUUAUCGCUAUGAGAUUGGCCCGCGCAAGAUUAGUUUGUUGGUAAGGUAAUGGCUUACCAAGGCUACGAUCUUUAGCUGGUUUGAGAGGAUGAUCAGCCACACUGGGACUGAGACACGGCCCAGACUCCUACGGGAGGCAGCAGUAGGGAAUAUUGGACAAUGGGGGCAACCCUGAUCCAGCAAUGCAGCGUGAGUGACGAAGGCCUUAGGGUUGUAAAACUCUUUCAUCGGUGAUGAUAAUGACAGUAACCGAAGAAGAAGGACCGGCUAAUUCCGUGCCAGCAGCCGCGGUAAUACGGAAGGUCCUAGCGUUGUUCGGAAUUACUGGGCGUAAAGCGCAUGUAGGCGGAACAGAAAGUUAGAAGUGAAAUCCCUGGGCUCAACCUAGGAAUUGCUUUUAAAACUUCUGUUCUGGAAUUCAGGAGAGGAAAAUGGAAUAUCCAGUGUAGAGGUGAAAUUCGUAGAUAUUGGAUGGAACACCAGUGGCGAAGGCGAUUUUCUGGACUGAUAUUGACGCUGAGAUGCGAAGGCAUGGGUAGCAAACGGGAUUAGAUACCCCGGUAGUCCAUGCAGUAAACGAUGGGUGCUAGUCGUCGGACUUAUGUUCGGUGUCGUAGCUAACGCGUUAAGCACCCCGCC